CACCUAUUUAGAACUUGGGAAAAUUACAUUUGUAUACCCCUUUUAACUAAACUAUUUUAAUUUUUACCUUCUUUUUUUUAAUCAUUCAUUUACACCCACAUUUAUAGGUAUUGUUCCCUUUAUACCCUUUAUUUAGGUUAAAUGAAAAAAAUAUAUUCAAUUACUUCUUCUCCAGAAACACGAUCACUACUCCUCUGCUCCUCUUGUGUGCGAUCAACGACUUUGGCCAGUCUGUGGUGUACAUCUCAGGUGUACACCAAUAUUCAAUCACCACACUCAUCUCGUAGAGGAACGGUGGCUCAACUCAGUCUGCCAUGUCAAUUUUUCUGCAUGGAGAGAAUAACAAUUGUGGUUGUUGGGGGCCAAGAUUCAGCCGAGCCUACUACCAAAGAAGAAUUCAGACUAAUUUUGUGAAGUGGACUUAUUCUCUGUAUUGUUAUUGCUGAUCAUAAUCAGGGGUUUUUAGGGGAAGGCCAUGCUUUAUGCUCCUUUACUUGUCUCAAUUCUAUCUUGCAUUGUGGUGAUGACAUUGAUUGUGGAUACUCAAGUGAUGGUGACUAUAUCUGCGGCUGGGGCUGGGACGGCACUACAGUGUUUGUUCUAUCCAAGUUUUGUUGUGCUCCAUUUUUAUGGCCAUUAACUAUGAUAAUGAGAGAAAACUUUUUUUAGCAUAGAACAAAUAUCAUGAUUAUAUGACCUUAAAGAUUGAUCAUUAUAUGGUGUGGGGUUCGAUAAAACAAGGAUUAAUGUGUAGAUUCUAGCUAAUUUAUCUAUUUAUUGUACGCUUGAAAGCGAUUUGGAGUUAACUAACGAAAAACCAAGUCCACUGAGUCUGGUUUUCUUUUUUGUAA